AUACGGAGGGUGCAAACGUUGCUCGGAAUCAUUGGGCGUAAAGCGCGUGUAGGCGGCUAGUUAAGUCGAGUGUGAAAGCCCUGGGCUCAACCCAGGAAGUGCGCUCGAUACUGGCUAGCUAGAGUACGAGAGAGGGUUGCGGAAUUCCCGGUGUAGAGGUGAAAUGCGUAGAUAUCGGGAGGAACACCAGUGGCGAAGGCGGCAACCUGGACCGAUACUGACGCUGAGACGCGAAAGCGUGGGUAGCAAACAGAAUUAGAAACCCCUGUAGUCC
rnacentral:rRNA from 1 species